rnacentral:rRNA from 1 species
AUUGAACGCUGUCGGCAGGCCUAACACAUGCAAGUCGAACGAGUGGCGGACGGUUGCGUAAUGUCUGGGAACUGCCCGAUGGAGGGGGAUAACUACUGGAAACGGUAGCUAAUACCGCAUCCUAUCCGCUUUGCCCAUAUUGGAUUAGCUUGUAGGUGAGGUAACGGCUCACCUAGUCGACGAUCCCUAGCUGGUCUGAGAGGAUGACCAGCCACACUGGAACUGAGACACGGUCCAGACUCCUACGUGAGGCAGCAGUGGGGAAUAUUGCACAAUGGGCGCAAGCCUGAUGCAGCCAGGCCGCGUGUAUGAAGAAGGCCUUCGGGUUGUAAAGUACUUUCAGCGGGGAGGCGUUACCCGCAGAAGAAGCACCGGCUAACUCCGUGCCAGCAGCCGCGGUAAUAC